UACAGAGGUCCCGAGCGUUGUUCGGAUUCACUGGGCGUAAAGGGCGCGUAGGCGGGAUGGCAAGUCGGUCGUGAAAUCUCUCGGCUCAACCGAGAAACGUCGGCCGAUACUGCCGUUCUUGAGGGAUGCAGAGGAGACUGGAAUUCCCGGUGUAGCGGUGAAAUGUGUAGAGAUCGGGAGGAACACCGGUGGCGAAGGCGGGUCUCUGGGCAUUUCCUGACGCUGAGGCGCGAAAGCUAGGGGAGCAAACGGG
rnacentral:rRNA from 1 species